CAGCAGCCACGGUAAUACGUAGGUGGCAAGCGUUGUCCGGAAUUAUUGGGCGUAAAGCGCGCGCAGGCGGAUCAGUCAGUCUUUCUUAAAAGUGCGGGGCUCAACCCCGUGAGGGGAGAGAAACUACUCAUCUUGAGUGCAGGAGAGGAAAGCGGAAUUCCUAGUGUAGCGGUGAAAUGCGUAGAUAUUGGGAGGAACACCAGUGGCGAAGGCGGCUUUCUGGACUGCAACUGACGCUGAGGCUCGAAAGCCAGGGGAGCGAACGGGAUUAGAUACCCCUGUAGUCCCUGUCUCUUAUACA
rnacentral:rRNA from 1 species